rnacentral:lncRNA from 1 species
UUUGGACAGCCUUUUUCUGCUGCCGGCCAAGCUGUCUCUCUGCCUUUUCCACACUGCACCUCACCCAGCAGUCAAAGUAGGCAGUCCCUCGGAUUCCUACCGCAGUGCUCUGGCUCAAGACCUUCCGGCACUUGUUACAUAUGUAUCUUAUUGUGAUUCUUCUUCACCUUGUUCUCUGACUGCCCCGGUGGGACAGCGAUUCUUGGUUGUUCACCCUUCAAUCUCUCUGGCUUACAAGAAGAGGGCGGUGGUCUAGUAGGAGGCGAGGUUGUCACAGAAGCCUUCAAUGUCUCUCAUUCUUGGUUACGAAUCUUCAGUCAUUGAUACCACUGCAGAGGAGCUUCGUCGCCCAUAGCAGCCCGUGGCUACAUGGAUCAUGGGACUUCUGCAUGGUUUUGGGGGGGGGGGGCAGCUUGGAUCACAGACAUCUACCUGGUCUCCCGCAGCAGCAUGGACCAUGAACAUCAACAAGGCCUGCUGCGGCAGGAAGAAUCGACACGGCCUCUGGAGGUGGCAUGGACCACGGACGUCUUUCAAGGAGACUUAAUCCAGAAAACGGAUCACUCAUCUCAGACAAUCUUGUUCAGAGUCAGUGUGUGCAGUUGGGCCGUGUGUCUGGGGGCAGGACCUGUGUGAAAUCCAGGCUGCUGCACAGCACUCUGCCCUUAGCUGCCCUGUCAACAGCCUAGGCACAACCAUCCUAUCUGCAGCACAAGGGCAGUGAGGUAACCCUGG